ACAUAUUAAAAAUAAAUCUUCAGUCCAUGUUUCGAGCUGCAUAAAACAGGAAGUGAUGUACAAGGUGGUGGUUGCUGCAUGGGGACAAUGAUGCUCUGAUGUGACAAUUAGGCUUCAAAUACACUGCCUUUCCGUUUCCAUGCUUCCUCCUACCAGUCUCCUUAAGACACUGCCUGCAACAGCUGAUUAAUCAUUGUUGAUGACUGCAGUUUUUCCCAUCCUUCCCGAUUUACAUCUGUUCAGGCCAAUUCAAAUAUGGGUCCCUGUGAGGAAUAGGAACGUUCCUUGGUCCAAAGCAGACGCCAAGAAAAGUGGAACUCCAUAGUCAUUGCAGAAAGACAAUGUUUGAAAUCUGCCAUCGUUGCAGGCGAUGCGGAUUCCCUUAAGCUACUGAGCAUGAAUGUCCAUCACUUGUCCACUCAUUGCCGGGUCGCCGGUGGAAAGCAUGCUCUCCGACCCGGCUGCUUUGAGCCCGCCCGACGUAUUCGUGCCAUUCGAACGCGCGCUGUGCAGCGAGCGCGGACACUGCCGAACAAAGGCCUCAUAUGAAGCUGAAAUUGAUAGGAUUACUAAGGCUGACUGUUAAAUCAAACCUGUAUUUUUAAACACAUAAAAAAAAAAAUCAAUAACAGUUAUCAAUUAAUUCCUUCCCUGCGAUCACUUCUGGCUGCAAAAAUCAGGCACAGGACGCAGUCAACCUUUCAGUGAUUUUGAGAACAAUACGAAAAAUUGGACCUAAAACAAUAAAACCUCCUGCUUUCCGUGGGCCUCUGCCUUCUGCUCGGAUUGCUGUAGCUGAUGGGAACUGACAGGUGUAUUGUUUCGGAGAGCUAUAAGCUCCAUAAUCAUCAAGGGUGAAAGGCAUACGCUAUUGCUAAGUAGGUUCAAUUGGCUUUAGUUCUAAGUAAUAGUGCACUGUGAAUGCUAUGAACACCUUGGAAUCAGGUCUCAAGGCUCUCGCAAUGAAUAGCUGCUUAAUCUAGCCUAAAGGAACAUUUUUGAACUAAUGAAAAUUGCUUAUAAAAUAUACUGUACUCACAGCUCUUUAAUCAAAAAAGAUGAUAAUAUUUUUUGUAAUAACCUAUUAAUUUAAUUGGUCACGAAGCAUAAAAUACAUCAUUUAAAUUUAAUUGACCCAGAAACUAAGAAACAAUAUUUAAAUUAACUAAGCUAGAAAUUUCCAUGAUGAGGUAAUAAGUCUGUUGCAUUCCCAAGCUCAGUGGAAUGUUUUCGCAGCUAAUUGUUAAAACUUAUUUUUGACUCGCAGAAGACAACUACAAAAUACACUGGGUCCUGGCAACUUCAAAUACCACGCUGAUACAAUCAGAGGCACAACAAAGAUGCCAAAAUAACUGCCUUUAACUUCAGAAACAAAGCAAAAGAAACAGAAUUAAGGGUUAUUCAAACAUGGUACCAGUGCCUUAGUGUUUCAAGCAGCUUUACUCUUAAAAAAAAAAAUGUAUAAUGUAUUUUCCCCUAAAAAAAGACAAGAGCAAAAAAAAAAAAAAAAAAAAAAAUCUGGGACAGUUUUUCUAGGCUUUCUUCACGAGGCCUGCCACUGAAGAUUGCAUUAAUGAUCUCUAUUUUUGUAUACUGAAUAAGUCAAAUCCAUUUGUCACACUGCAAGUGAUGGCAUACUUAAUUUGGAUAUAGUCAAUUAGCCUGGGCUAAGCUCCAUAGCCUGCUGUGCACACCUCUAUUUUGUAUUCUCUCUUUUUCCUUUGCCACACGUAAUCCCAUUAUGACGGACAGACAAAGAGAAAUAAACUUGCAAAAA